GUGUUUUGCUGACAGAUAGCCUUGUCAAAAGUUUUCUGUUCUGUCAACUGUCAAAAUGGAUGGUGAAAAUUGUGAAAACAUUGAGAACAUCGAUCCCAACAGAAGUUUCAUUACUGAAGGAAGAAAUAGCAGUGUCAAUGCUACCCUGGAAAAAAUCUACUGCUUCCUGAAGAAUAUUUCCAGUCCAUUUCAGAUGUGGCAGGAAAGAAUGCCAGCCUAUAUAAAUGUCUCUUCCCAGCAUGCAUGUCAAAAAAGAAAGAUGGAUCUGAUAAAGCCCUGAUGGUUUCCAACGUGACAAGGCAUAAUGCCAAGAGGCACUUUUUGAAACAUGAUCCAUACAAUUAACUUGGUCAUUUGGAAAAAUGGAAAGAGGCAAUAAAGAAGUUUUCAGCUGAUGACAGCAGCACUUCAACAAGAAUGUCAACAUUGCUAAAUUGAAGAAAACUCCGAUUUUAACUCAAAAAUAAUUGGAUGACUGGCUUUUGGUAAUCAAUUUUCGCUAUACUGAUUCUAUGAUCAUUAUUAUUUUUUCUUUUCAAAUAGAAUUUUUGGAUUGUU